AUCAACGCGCAGCAGUGUUUCAAGAGACUCUUACGCGGACAAUCCGGUUUUUCGCUCAUCGCGCGGCGUGCUCAUCGAGAUCCAACACACAGUGGCGUUCACUCAUAAACGUUGAGUUCGAAUAGCCGACAGGGGAGAAGGUUAAACGAUACAGAGAUUGGUCACCCGGGAAGAUGAAAAAAAAAAAAAAAAAAAAAAAAAACAAGCAAAAAUCAUUAUUGACAUUCCUCUCAUUUUCUCGUUCGUUUUUCUCGCAACCUUUUACUGCGCGGACUAGCCAAUCGCUGAAGGGUGGCUAAUAGUUGUCAGUAUUCGUCUCGACAUUCUGAACGGGGGUCAAAAGGCUGUAGGCCAAGCUCAAACACGAUCAGAGUCGUCUUGGAUAGCAAAGGAAAUCGCUUCGCAUUUUUAUCAGAAAAUUCUUGUAAUUAACUUUUGAUUGUUUGCAGAUCUGUUACGCUACCAUCGCACCCUGAAGUGAUGGACUUUUUAAAUUAGUUUGGCGAGAGGCAGGAUGCCAGGGAGACAAGGACUGUGAUGGAAGAGAAAUCGAUCUACGAGGAGCUGAUACGCACUGUUUGUCGUUAUAAUUCAAGAGGCACGAUUUUCCAUGUCAUCAGGAUUCUCCUUCCUUUGAUAUCCCCUUUCAUGCAACCCUCGGGAUAAACACGAUGAAGAAGUGCACGCUGCAAUUCUUUUGGACGCGUAAACCAUAACGUAUCAGAACGUGAAAUGUCAUAUGCAAACAAGAGGGGCAAAUUGCAAAGGAUUUUACGAAACAAACACGCCGCAAUAUAAGUUUGGAGUGUCAUUUCGUGUGCUUGUUACGAUUCGCACUGCCAUGAGCAUACUCUUCAUUAUUCGACAGGAUGAAACCUAUAUGCGAUUUUUCACGUAUGACGUUGGAGUAUUCCACCACCACUGGAACUU